UUGAUGUGAUGAGCCUUAACAUGUAAGAAGAUCCAUUCACCUGUUUGGGUCGUCAGUGAAUACACUUGUUACGCUUGCCUUCUGAGGCUU